CCAGUACUCUACUCACUCCCCACCAUUCGAUACGACGUAGGUGUGUGUGUGUGUGGCCGGCCUUCUGUAAAAAUUACGACGAGUUUCAGUCGUCGUCUGAGAAAUUGACAAACUUUGUCGUCGUCUUAAACUUCUUCUCUCCCGUCUAAAUGGUGUUUGUCAGGUUCAUUCAUCUGAGCCACAAUAUAUGAAUACACG